CGUCGGAUUUUUCCCCUCCCAACGUCGAGGCAACCCCUCUUCGAUUCCCCUCUUCGUUUCAACCCCGCAAUGGUGACGCCCAACGUCGAUCCGGUUGUCCGCCACGCAAACUCGCGGGAUCCACGACCCAUGGCGCUUGUGCGUGACCCGUUUUAUCGUCGGAAAAUGCGCCGUGCCUACUUCGUGUCGAGAUUCAGAAUGUCGUUCGUGAUAUUAGUGACCAAGAAUAAUAAUCGAAGUGACUUGUACUUGAAAUAGACUCUUCUUGCAUUCUUCCUUCGUUCUUCUUUCGAAUUGUAAGUGUGUAAAAAAGAAUAAGGGGGGGAAGAGAAGAAAAGGGGACGAUGUGAUACGAUGUUUGAGGGGGGAAGGGAAGAAGGUGUCCUUCCUAUACACCGAUGCUGAGAACGUUAAAAUGGAUCCCUUCGGAUGGACGAGGAAGUGGAUGAGUUUUUGAUGGAUCGAUUGGAGAGGAAAACGUGCCAAACGUGCAAUCUUCCUUGCGACGAAUGCAAUGUCUCUCUCCUUCGAACUCGAAAGGGAACUUUUUCGAGGAGGAAGGGAAAAAAUUUAUUCGGAUAUCCUUUGGAGAACGCUCUCUCUCUCGAAGAAACUGCUCGCCUUCUUCGCCCACCAGAUUCCGCCACCAGUUACGCGCCAUUCGCCGCCCACGCGUGACUCCGAUCCGCGUAUUCUCCUCCUAGUACAUUCUAGUUUCGGUUGGAUUACACCAUGUGUCCAUAGUUGGUGUUGGGCAAGUUACGUUGGGCGAGGAAAAUUU